UACGUAGGCAGCAAGCGUUGUUCGGAAUUACUGGGAGUAAAGGGAGCGUAGGCGGGUGGCUAAGAUUGGUGUGAAAUCUCUCGGCUUACCUGGGAGGGUGGGCCGAAAACUGGCUGGCUAGAGUGGGGGAGAGGGAAGUGGAAUUCCCGGUGUUGCUGUGAAAUGCGUAGAUAUCAGGAGGAACACCUGAGGUGUAGACGGCUUCCUGGACCAUUACUGACGCUGAGGCACGAAAGCGUGGGGAGCAAACAGG
rnacentral:rRNA from 1 species